AUACGGAGGAUGCGAGCGUUAUCCGGAUUUAUUGGGUUUAAAGGGAGCGUAGGUGGGAUAUUAAGUCAGCUGUGAAAGUUUGGGGCUCCACCUUAAAAUUGCAGUUGAUACUGGUUUCCUUGAGUACGGUACAGGUGGGCGGAAUUCGUGGUGUAGCGGUGAAAUGCUUAGAUAUCACGAAGAACUCCGAUCGCGAAGGCAGCUCACCGGGCCGGAACUGACACUGAUGCUCGAAAGUGCGGGUAUCAAACAGGAUUAGAUACCCUGGUAGUCCGCACAGUAAACGAUGAAUACUCGCUGUUUGCGAUACACUGUAAGCGGCCAAGCGAAAGCGUUAAGUAUUCCACCUGGGGAGUACGCCGGCAACGGUGAAACUCAAAGGAAUUGACGGGG
rnacentral:rRNA from 1 species